GAUGAACGCUGGCGGCGUGCUUAACACAUGCAAGUCGAACGAAGCGCUUAAGCUGAUUUCUUCGGAUUGAUUCUUAGGUGACUGAGCGGCGACGGGUGAGUAACGCGUGGGUAACCUGCCUCAUACAGGGGGAUAACAGUUAGAAAUGACUGCUAAUACCGCAUAAGCACACAGUACCGCAUGGUACAGAGUGAAAAACUCCGGUGGUAUGAGAUGGACCCGCGUCUGAUUAGCUGGUUGGCGAGGUAACGGCUCACCAAGGCGACGAUCAGUAGCCGGUCUGAGAGGAUGAACGGCCACAUUGGGACUGAGAUACGGCCCACG
rnacentral:rRNA from 1 species